GUUUAUAAGCACAUUUAUUAAAAAGGAGAGUAAAGGGUCCGUUAUCUUCCUAUGAAAAAUAAAAAAAUAAAAAUAAACAAACAACAACACAGAUUGAUACAGAACUCAGAAAUUUUAUUGUGGAUUUAUGAUAAAAUCAGCCUGGAAAUGAAUUCAUACUCCUCCAAGAAGACACAAGUAGUUCACACCAAACUUUUUCAACAUGAUGCCAAUAUACUGAAGAUGUUAAAUUGCGAAUGGGUUUAGGAUACCUUAAAUGGUGUGGCCAUAGCGAUUUAUUAAAUUAACAUAAAACAAUAAAAUAGUUAUUUUACUAUAUCUUUAAAAUUUUUCAUUCUAACUCUUCAUAUUUUUUUAUAUACGUCGAAGUCAUCAUUUGAAGGAAGCACAGUAAGUUUCAUAGCUUUAUCAUGUUCAGGAGCCAUCAUAAAAUUAAAACUAUCAUAACUUAUAAAUCAAGCUUGCAAUUCUUAGUACCAAUAAUGGCCACCAGAUGGAGCUAUAGGAUUACUUUUAAAUAAUUAUUGUAGAAACUAGUAUGAUUUAAAUCAUUUAUAGAAAUCUUUCAAAGAAAAAUAAUAUGUAUUUUACUGAUGAAAUGACCCUCACUUAAUUAGAAUAACAUGCUGAAGUAUUGUGAAAUACUGUAUAUUAAGAAUAGUUCUUUAUAGGCUUUAUGGACAGAUAAGUUUUGAGUGACUCUUGAAGGAUCAGCACCACAUCCUCUUUUACCACUGUUUAAAGAAUUUAUCUUACAGAACAGGUGCGAAUGAAUAUUGGAUAGCUUGAAUGGUUUUGUCGUGGUGAUUUUUUGAAAUAAAAGUAAAAAAGGAACCAGUAAAUGUCUUUAAUUUUUUUAAAGUGCAGCUUCUAAACACUUCAAAAAAAUGUACACAUAGAAGACAAGUCAUUCUGAGGAAAUAUGCAUAGUUUCAUGACUAUACAACACUAUAUGGAUGAUAGAAAAUUAAAAAACUAUCAUACAUCUGAUGUCACUCUGUCCCCUCUGUCACUGUGGGUAAUGUGUGUGUGUGUGUGUGUGUGUGUGUGUGUGUGUGUGUGUGUGUAAUUAGGUGUGAAACUAUCAGGGAGCAUUUAGUCUCCAGCGCCAACAUUUUACAGAACUGACACUUUCCUGGAGUCUCCAGAAUUACUCGGUGUCAGGUUCUGAGAGACUUAAGAUUCCAAAAAAUGAUUUAAUUAGAAUACCAUGAAGUACUGUGAAAUACUAUAUAUUAAGACUUUAUAUAUAGGGUUUAUGAACAGAUUAGAGUGACUCGUGAAGGACCAGCACCACCUCCUCUUGUCCGAUGGUUUGAGGAAUAUAUCUUCCAGAUCUGGGAUUAAGAUUUAGGAGCUCAUUUUUAUUCCAUCUCCUUUCCUUAAAAGUUUGUCUUGCAGAAUUGACAAAAAAUUUAUCUUCACAUUAAUUCCUAAUUCUUUUGCAAUUCUUUUUGUCAGUUCUUCUCAACCUUUUUUUCUCUUCCAGCUUUCCUGGACUAUUGUAUAUCACUCAUAAAUGAUUAAAUAAAAAAUAAUGGUAGUUAUUAAGACUGAUAUGGUUUGGAAUUGGUAAAAUGUGCUUGGGAAAAAAAAUCAUAAUAAAACAAUGUUUUAAUGCUUAAGUUAGGAAUAUUAACUGACAUGAAUAAAUGCUAUAUAAAUAUUGUUCAUGUUAACAUAGUUAAUGUUUAUAAAUGAAAUCUUAUUGUAAAGUGUUACUAAAGUUAUAUAUAUUGUUAUGUGAAUGUGAUUUUAAAGUCUAGAUGAUUCGGAUUAACCCUUUAACUGCCGUAUCCUUUAAAACCUUACUGCCAGAGGGAUAUUGUUAAUGCAUGUGCCCGCUGGGCACAGUUUACCUGAUGCCACCGGGGUGGCGUUCGCACUGAUGGC